GCCUCUGUAGUUCAACCGGCAGAAUCGCCGUAUCAUACGCGGCAGAUCGCGGUUCAAAUCCGCGCAGAGAUCCCA
rnacentral:tRNA from 1 species